rnacentral:rRNA from 1 species
GAAUUGACGGGGACCCGCACAGCGGUGGAACAUGUGGUUCAAUUCGAUGCUACGCGAAAAACCUCACCAAGGCUUGACAUACAGGAAGUAGUGAACCGAAAGGGGAACGACCUGUCAAAUCAGGAGCCUGAACAGGUGCUGCAUGGCUGUCGUCAGCUCGUGUCGUGAGAUGUUGGGUUAAGUCCCGCAACGAGCGCAACCAUUAUCCUUAGUUGCUACCAUUUUUAACCUUCGGGUUGAAAGUGAGCACUCUAAAGAGACUGCCUGGGUUAACCAGGAGGAAGGUGGAGAUGACGUCAAGUCAGUACGGCCUUUAUGCCUUGGGCUACACACGUGUUACAAUGGUCAGUACAAAGGGUUGCCAACCCGUAAGGGGGAGCUAAUCUCAAAAAACUGACCCCAGUUCGGAUUGAAGUCUGCAAUUCGACUUCAUGAAGCCGGAAUCGCUAGUAAUGGUAGAUCAGCACGCUACCGUGAAUACGUUCCCGGGUCUUGUACACACCGCCCGUCAAGCGAUGGAAGUUGGGGGUACCAGAAGUCCUAUGUAGAUAGGCCGAAGGUAAAACCAAUGACUGGCGCUAAGUCGUAACAAGGUAUCC